ACACCAAGUGUUAUACAUUUUAUCACAAACCUAAGUUGUUAUGACAAUUGAGGAAACAUACAAUAUACAAACUUAAAAAUUGUUUUACUUAUUUAUACAAAAGUAUUAUAUAAAAUUUUAGGGAACAUAAUUAAGAAAAUUUUUUUCGGAUAAUUUCUGAGAUUAUAAACUACGUACAACUAAAUUCUUAACUAAUUCUGAAUAAUAAACUAAAAAAAUUAAAUCAAAGCUAUAUAUAUAUGUACACACACACAUAUGUAUAUAUGUAAACACAUCCUAUUUCCACAUUGCUUUUUUAAUUGCUGUUGUAUGAUCAACAUUUCCAUAACCUUAUGGUAGCACCACCAAGAGUAGUUUACUAUCAGAAGUCUUACCUGGAUUGCUAUUUUGAGGAUUUUUAGAUAUCUUUUGUUUAUAUUCCAAAAGGUGUUGAUGAAUGCUAUGUAUAAAAAUGUAAUAAAUAAAACUAUUAUUUUAACACUGAUAUAAAAACAUUUACCAAAUUUAUUAAGUUCUUAGAGUAUUUCAGACAAUAUCAGAGCUAACAUCAGAAUAUUACUUAUUCUAUUACUUUAAGUUUGUAAGCUCUAUGAAUUUAUUAAUCUGCUAAUUAAAGAAGAAAGAAAGUAGAUGAAAUACUCAUGAAUUCAGGGCAGGGUAACUCCGUACAUUCACUAGAGUUAGCUUGGCAUAAUGGAAAAUGUCCUUAACUCAGAAUAAGUCCUAGCGCAGUAACCAACAGGUAUUUUUUCUGGAACAAGUUGCUUCUCUUAGGCUCAACGUCUUCUAAAAAUGAGAAUUUUAGAGCCUUAUUUCACUAGGUUAUUAUAAAGAUUUAACAAGAUAACAUUUUUUAAUGCUCAAAUAGUGAAGCAAUGAAAUAAUUUGUUCUUGAAUCUUAUUGCUGAAGCUAUUUUUAAAUUCUCAAUAAAAUCCAAUGUGUUAGCCUGGUGCAGUGGCUCAUGCCUGUGACAUAAGCACUUUGGGAUGCUGAGACAGGAGGACUGCUUGAGCCCAGAAGUUCAAGACCAGCCUGGGCAACAUAGGGAUACCCUGUCUCUGCAAAACAUAAAUAAAUUACAAAAAACAAAAGAACAAAAAAAAGUGUUUCUUCAUAUGUUAUAAUGUUCAAAUGUUGCACUUUUCUGUUAUUAACUCCUACUUUUGGUUAUUAGAUGUUCUAUUCUUUGUGGCUUGUAAUUCAAGGCAUCUAAGCUA
rnacentral:lncRNA from 10 species